CCACCCUGGCCUGCCAUGUCCCCAUCAUGUGCCUAUAAAAACCCUGAGGCCCUAGCAGGCAGACACACAAGCUGCUGGAAGUUAAGAGAAACACAUCGGUGGAAGAAGACACAAGUGGCUGGACAUCGAGAGGACAUGGAGGGGACCAUGCUGGAGGAAGAGCACACGACAGAUGCUGGCAGGCCAGCAGGCCAUCAACAGGUGGAACAAGGCGGCAGUUGGAGAAAAGCCCAAGCCGCCGAGCGGCCCAACUCCACAGGAAAACCAUCUCUCUUCUGGCUUCCCCAUGUGCUGAGAGAUAUGUCCACUCAAUAAAACCUUGCACUCAUUCUCCAAGCCCAUGCGUGAUCUGAUUCUUCUGGUACACCAAGGCAAGAACCUGGGAUACAGAAAACCCUCUGUCCUUGUGAUAAGGCAGGGGUCUAAUUGAGCUAACAGAAGCCGCCUACAAACAGCUAAACUAAAAGAACACCCUGUAACACAUGCCCACUAGGGUUUCAGCUGUAAACAUUCACCCCUAGACACUGUCGUGGGGUUGAAGCCCCACAGCCUGCCCGUCUGCAUGCUCCCCCUAGAGGCUUGAGCAGUGAGGCACUGAAGAGGCGAGCCACUCCUCCAUUGCAUGCCCCAUGAGGGGGGCAAGGGAAGUUUUCCCGUUUCAGUAAUAUAUGUCAAGUUUCUAGCAUUGUGACUGACAUAUAGCAGACACUCAAUAAUAAUCAGAAUUAACUAAAUGCUUACUAUGUGACAAGGUUGUUCCAGAGCUUUAUCUGUAUCAUUCUAAUCCUCCAAAAACCUUUAUGAGAUAGGUACUAUUAUUGCUACCUUUUUUGCCAGGGAAGAAACUAAGGCACGGAGAGGUUAAGGUGGUAUAAUUUCCCAAGUCACAAGUUAGUAAGUGGUAGAAGGGAGAUUGAACCAGGUGGUCUGGCUCUAGAACCUCCAGUUAACUAUAUUCUAACAUCUACCAUUUUAAGUACAAUCUGCCAUCAUGUACUGAACGUUACCAUUUAGGGGCCUUUCUCCAGGACCCUUUAGGUGGUCCCAGACACAUGCUAACAGGGGCACCGAGGGACACUCAGCCUGGCUGGGAGUGGAUGGGAUGUAUGGGGGACUAAUGAAGGGACAAGCUGGUUACUGUUAAUGAUAGAGCAAGAGGCUCGGAUUGUUUUUGAUGCAUAAUGAGAACCAAGUAUAGGUAUUGAUACGCUGAUGAAAGUCAGGGAUUUUUUAAGGUACUGGACAUAAAAAGUGACAUGAUCAAGGCCCGCUAGUCUAGAGGUGAAGCAGCUGGCUAACUGCAGUAAAGAGGAACAGAUGGUAUGAGAUGAGUCUACAUGAAGCACAGCAGAGACACAAGGGGGAGAGGGUCAAUUCUGCUCUGAGAGGAAGGGGCAGGGAAGGCUGCAUAAGGAGAUGAUGUAAGCUGGUUUUACAAGGUCCUUGGGAGGUUUUGAGCAGAAUGUCAUGGCCAGAAACAUGCAUUUCAUUAAAUAGCCUAUUUCCCGUCCACCAACUUAGGAAAAGGAGGGCCUGACUCCGGGUGGCGGCAGUGAGAAUGGGGAAGAGGAAUACAGAGGCCGACUUGAGAGCCCAAGGAUGAAAACAGAGAAGUAAUUAAUGGCAGCUUUCCUGGGCCAGAAGAAUAAAUAAGGAAUUAUCUUACAAACAGCAAAUAAACCACAGCAACCAUGAAAUUAGAAGUUUGGUAAAACAUGUUGCAGAAGAACCAGGAAACACAUUGCAAUUGAGCCUGCUGGGUGCUGCUGCAAGUUUGGGGGUGAACAGGAGAAUCAGGUUCUUAUAGGGGUGAAGUCUGCAAAGUAGGAUGUUUUCCUAAUUUGAAUGCAAUGACUGAAGUGGAAAAUGGUCAAAACUGGGCAGAGUGGCUCACACCUACAAUCCCCUAGGAGGGAAGGACAAAGGCAUCCAUAUCACCUCGCCACAGUGGUUGUGGUGGAAGCUGUAGCACUGAAGAGAUGCAGCCCCAUGGAAGAUGCUGCCAAGAGAGGGAGACAGAGCUACGUCUGGUGUCUCCCUUCCUCCUUACCUGGUGCCUCCCUCCUCCUGUCCUCCUGUCUCCCUUCAGAUGAAGGAACUGAUGCUGAGACUUGCACUCUACCAUAGGCGGAAGCACCCACCACCCUGUUCCCAGCCCUGGAAGGGCAAGGAAUGAAUCUGAGGCAAAUAGGGCCAGCACUGGCAGUCUGCUCGAUUUUCCCUCAGAGCAUUUAUCUUCCUUGACAUAUUUACAAUUUUUUGUCUAUUUUUGGUUUCUCUAACUUGACUAGAAUGUAAGAUCCACAAGGCUUGGGCUUUGCUCUUUUGUUCACUAUGUCCAUAGCUCCUGUAACAGUGCCUAAAACAUAGUAGGCAAUCAAUAGAUAUUCUUUGGAUAAACAAAUAUGCCUCAACAUUGAGUCUAACUUACAGCAGACAUUGAAUAAAUAUCUAUUGAAUGAA
rnacentral:lncRNA from 1 species